rnacentral:tmRNA from 1 species
GGGGACGACCGGAAUUGACAGCUUGUUGACGCUGCGUGUAAGCAUGCCGGGAGUUGAGGGCAUUUCCUGUAUAACAAACCUUCACACAAUAACUGGCGAAUAUAACUACGCCAUGGCUGCUUAAUCCGGAGGAUUAGCAAAUGCCAUUGUCCCACCGACCCUACGUGCUGCUGGGUUGGACUCUGGGGCAUCGACUCGCAGCGCUGGUUCCGGUAAUGGUGUUGACUACGGAGCGAGACAAAAAUACCUAAGGAUGAGGUACGGCGUGAUGCGGGCCUGACCGAUUCCCGACAAUCCCAAUCGCAUCUAAGCAUGUAGAAAGCACGACGGUUUCCUUGUCUGGACCAGGGUUCGACUCCCUGCGUCUCCACAA